CUUAAAUUUAACUUAAUGUUUUUUAGGUCCAUCUUUUGCUGAAGGACAGUCUUCCUUUAGGUUCUUGAGGACCUAGCACUUACGACACCUCUAGAUCUGAUAACAGAGUAGUUAAGGACUUAAUGAGUGAAGGUUAGACUGUAAUAUGCUGAAUGGGAGCAGAUGAGAGAAAGCUGGGCCUGGUGAAUGAAAUUUAGUAAACCAGAAAUGUCUACAUGUCUGAAGACAACGAGUUGAUCCUGGUGGCCUGUCUGCCUUUCAAACAUCAAAUAAAAUUAUAUAAGCUGAGAGACAUUAUACGAGGUGAAGAAGGACUUCAUCUUGAAACACUGCUCUUAUUCCUGCUGAAGAGUUGAAAUCCCCUGUUUCGUUCAGGUGCCACUGAGUGCAGCACCGUAUUCCUGUCCUGAUAAGGGUGCACAAUGGGAUUACCGAGGGAGAGACCAGGAGAAGAAAAACAAUAGUGAGACAAAUACCAUUGGAAGACAUCUGGGAAUAGACACUGGAAGAAGGGAAACGAUUGGAUGGCACUGAUGUUGCCCUCGGGACGAAGGGGAAGGAACUAGGCUCCUGCCAGAGGAAGAGAGAAUCCAGAAUGGGCGCUGGGACAGAGUCUGCAGGGCUGGACUGUGGAUCUUCCUGAUGAGGAGAAUGAAUGGCUGUUACCCUCAGUGGGAAUUACAAGAAAUCCUUAACAAAGAAAGAUGUUCUUUACCCUCAAGAAAGGAAUUCCAAAUGGAAGGAUAACAAUGAGACAACAACAGUUCAUCAGUAAAUAUCUGGAGGCAGCAGUUAACAGCAACUGUGCAUAGGACACACUGCAGACAGACAUCUGAGGACUUUGGACUUGGAUAGCUGAGAAGAGAAAGCGUUAGAAGUUGACUGCAAUGGGACUGAUUCCACAUGAAGGUGCAGAUUUGACCCAGAAAGGUUUGAGUGUGUUUCUGAACAAACUGAAUUAUCUUUUGUGCUUCUCAAACAUGGGUUGCUUAAAAAAGUGCAUAAGUUUAGCUCCAAACCCACAUCUUUGAGUGAAACUAUUUUAUGUUAUUCCUCAAAAAAAUCCCUUCUAUUUUACUUCCAAACAGCAGUGAAGUGUUAAACUCUAAAUAAAAACUGUCUUUAUCCCU